UUUUGGAAAAUCUAAAGCCUUAGCUUGUGUAUGGUCCAUAUAUCACCGAGCACCCAAGUAUAAAUUAGCCUUACAACUCUCUAAUAGAAACUUAAUAACUUCAACUUAAAUUGCAUACUGACCUAGGAUUUGGGCUGACUUAGUAAUUAAAACUUUGUGUGCUUUUGAAAUUCUUGGCACUUAUGCAUUUGAAAUUAGAUUUUAUAAAUUAAUAAAAUAAAUUCUUUCGACUACAGUUUGU
rnacentral:lncRNA from 1 species